UGAGUUCAUCAGUGCAUCCGUCAGUGAUUCUUUUACAUUAAAAUGCUCUCGUGACAUGAAGAUUAGAUAUUGCUACAACACGGUAUCCUGGUAUAAAGUGAAUCCGAUGAAUGGAAAACUGGGUGAAGUCCUAAAAACUGAGGAGGACAAGCUAGAAGAUGAUGCUAAAUCAUGUACCAGGACAAUCGUUAAUGCCCAAGUUCAAGACUCAGGCAUUUACUACUGCGCAGCUUUACAUGAUAAAAUGAUUUAUACUGGAACUGGAACCAGAGUCGUCAUUACAGAUAAUGUUCCGUUAAAGCCGUCUAUUGCUCUGUACACCCCGACGGACGUGGACUCUCCCUCUGUCCUCCUGCAGUGUGUGGUGAUGGACGCCGUUCCCUCUCAGAUCAGGGUUUUGUGGUUAAUCGACGGAGACGAGCGCACAGGAUGGACAGAAUCAGGCUGGACAGGACGCGACGAUUCAGCCUCGGAAUACACUCGAGCUCAAAUCACCAUUCCUGCGGAGGAAUGGAGGGAAGAGGCUCACGUCGUCGAGUGUGUCGUCAAGUAUGGAAACAUGAGCGUGUUCCGGACUCUGCGACGACAAAUCAUCAAUGUCACUAGCAGGUCAUUCAGACUCUACGUGUACGUGGCUGCAGUAUGGAGUCUGCGUCGUCGUCGUGGUCUUCGUCAUCGUCGUGGCGGUCACCAUGGUUCUGCAUUCCCGUAAAGGUGAAUUAAAAAUCACAUGUCUUUAACAUUCAGCACUUCUCUUCCGAUCACACGAACGAAGAAAUUCGAGGCUGUACGUUACACACGUGUGGUCCUGUAGGUGAGAAGUCCGAAACAUUUUCUGAUGUGAUUCAUCAUUAGGACAUUAUCAGGUGUGUGAGAGCAGGAUACGCACUGAUCAUUGUUCUCAUCAGUACAUAUGUGUUUCCACAGAGAAACAACACACACAUGGGACGAUUACAGAGAAACCUUCUACCAUAACGGAAGUGGACUAUUCCUGUUGGAACCCUGACAACGUUAAUCAGAUGCUAAUAGAUUAGCAAUAGUUAACCAAAACAAUAAAGCAACAAGUCUAUAACCUUAAUAUUAAACGCUUUUACUUUUUUUUUUCUUGGUAAAUAUAAUCUGACGAGGGCAGCAAAGUAACACUUAAAUAAUAAUCUGUAAUAUUUUCUUUAAUAUUAAGUGUGUAAAUGAAUGAUUCUCUCAGUCAUGUACAUCAUAUGCC